AUUGAACGCUGGCGGCAGGCCUAAACAUGCAAGUCGGACCAGGGGCGGACGGGUGAGGAAUGUCUGGGAGACUGCCGGAUGGAGGGGGGUAACUACUGGAAACGGUAGCUAAUACCACAUACCACCGGAGGUGCCCCGAUGGGAUUAGCGGGUAGGUGGGGUAACGGCUCACCUAGGCGACGAUCUCUAGCUGGUCUGAGAGGAUGACCAGCCACACUGGAACUGAGACACGGCCCAGACUCCUACGGGAGGCAGCAGUGGGGAAUAUUGCGCAAUGGGGGCAACCCUGACGCAGCCAUGCCGCGUGUAUGAAGAAGGCCUUCGGGUUGUAAAGUUCUUUCAGUAGCGAGGCGUUAACCACAGAAGAAGCACCGGCUAACUCCGUGCCAGCAGCCGCGGUAAUAC
rnacentral:rRNA from 1 species